GCCCACCAAGCUCUGACGGCGGAGCACCCGAGUGAAGUCCGGGAGGCGCGGGGUUCGAGUCCCUGGGUGGGCA
rnacentral:tRNA from 1 species